rnacentral:ncRNA from 1 species
GGGUUUAGACCGUCGUGAGAACAGGUUAGUUUUACCCUACUGAUGAAGCGUUGUUGCCACAGUAAUCCUGCUCAGUACGAGAGGAACCGCAGAUUCAGACAUUUGGUUCAUGUGCUUGGCUGAUAAGCCAAUGGUGCGAAGCUACCAUCUGAGGGAUUAUGACUGAACGCCUCUAAGUCAGAAUCCCGCCUGGAAAGCGACGAUGCAUUCGUGCCUCGGCCUCGAGAGGCGUAGCUAGACGGCCGUGUGGCCGUGGAAAGAGCCCGAUUCCGACCCGAGAGGCCGCGGCAAGAGGCGGCCUCGAAGUCGGUGGAUCCUCCUGCUCGAAAGGCGGGGUGCUAAACCAUUCGCAGACGACCUAGUUGAAGAUCGGGGUGUCGUGAUCACUAGAGCAGUACAUCUCACUGCGAUUUGUUGAGAGUAAGCCUCAAGAUCUGUCGGUUUGU